GCAUCGUUGGUUUAGUGGUAAAAUAUUUGCCUUCCAAGCAAAUGCCGUGGGUUCGAUUCCCGCACGAUGCA